UACAGAGGGUGCAAGCGUUGUUCGGAAUUACUGGGCGUAAAGCGCGCGCAGGCGGCUAUCCAAGUCAGUGGUGAAAGCCCGGAGCUCAACUCCGGAACUGCCAUUGAAACUGUUUAGCUUGAGGACGAGAGAGGUGAGUGGAAUUCCCAGUGUAGAGGUGAAAUUCGUAGAUAUUGGGAAGAACACCGGUGGCGAAGGCGGCUCACUGGCUCGUAUCUGACGCUCAGGCGCGACAGCGUGGGGAUCAAACAGG
rnacentral:rRNA from 1 species